rnacentral:rRNA from 1 species
CCCGCACAAGCAGCGGAGCGUGUGGUUAAUUCGAUGUUACACGAAGAACCUUACCAGGGCUUGACAUCCCCUGACCGCGUAUGAAAGUACGUUUUCACCCUCGGGUGACAGGGAGACAGGUGGUGCAUGGUUGUCGUCAGCUCGUGUCGUGAGAUGUUGGGUUAAGUCCCGCAACGAGCGCAACCCCUACGUUUAGUUGCUAACGCGUGAAGGCGAGCACUCUAGACGAACUGCCGUUGACAAAACGGAGGAAGGUGGGAUGACGUCAAAUCAUCAUGCCCCUUAUGUUCUGGGCUACACACGUGCUACAAUGGCCGGUACAGACGGACGCAAAGCCGCGAGGUGGAGCAAAUCCUAAAAAGCCGGUCUCAGUUCGGAUUGCAGGCUGCAAUUCGCCUGCAUGAAGUCGGAAUCGCUAGUAAUCGCAGGUCAGCAUACUGCGGUGAAUACGUUCCCGGGCCUU